rnacentral:rRNA from 1 species
AGCGAACGCUGGCGGCAGGCCUAACACAUGCAAGUCGAACGAACCUUUCGGGGUUAGUGGCGGACGGGUGAGUAACACGUGGGAACGUGCCUGUAGGUUCGGAAUAACUCAGGGAAACUUGUGCUAAUACCGAAUGUGCCCUUCGGGGGAAAGAUUAAUCGCCUUUAGAGCGGCCCGCGUCUGAUUAGCUAGUUGGUUGAGGUAAUGGCUCACCAAGGCGACGAUCAGUAGCUGGUCUGAGAGGAUGAUCAGCCACAUUGGGACUGAGACACGGCCCAAACUGCUACGGGAGGGAGGGGUGGGGAAUCUUGCGGAAUGGGCGAAAGUCUGACGCAGCCAUGCCGGGUGAAUGAUGAAGGUCUUAGGAUUGUAAAAUUCUUUCACCGGGGACGAUAAUGACGGUACCCGGAGAAGAAGCCCCGGCUAACUUCGUG